UUAAGCGACUAAGCGUACACGGUGGAUGCCCUGGCAGUCAGAGGCGAUGAAGGACGUGCUAAUCUGCGAAAAGCGUCGGUAAGGUGAUAUGAACCGUUAUAACCGGCGAUGUCCGAAUGGGGAAACCCAGUGCAAUUCGUUGCACUAUCGUUAACUGAAUACAUAGGUUAACGAGGCGAACCGGGGGAACUGAAACAUCUAAGUACCCCGAGGAAAAGAAAUCAACCGAGAUUCCCCCCAGUAGCGGCGAGCGAACGGGGAGCAGCCCAGAGUCUGAAUCAGCUUGUGUGUUAGUGGAACGGUCUGGAAAGUCCGACGGUACAGGGUGAUAGUCCCGUACACCAAAAUGCACAGGCUGUGAACUCGAAGAGUAGGGCGGGACACGUGGUAUCCUGUCUGAAUAUGGGGGGACCAUCCUCCAAGGCUAAAUACUCCUGACUGACCGAUAGUGAACCAGUACCGUGAGGGAAAGGCGAAAAGAACCCCGGCGAGGGGAGUGAAAAAGAACCUGAAACCGUGUACGUACAAGCAGUGGGAGCACCUUCGGGUGUGACUGCGUACCUUUUGUAUAAUGGGUCAGCGACUUAUAUUCUGUAGCAAGGUUAACCGUAUAGGGGAGCCGCAGGGAAACCGAGUCUUAACUGGGCGUUAAGUUGCAGGGUAUAGACCCGAAACCCGGUGAUCUAGCCAUGGGCAGGUUGAAGGUUGGGUAACACUAACUGGAGGACCGAACCGACUAAUGUUGAAAAAUUAGCGGAUGACUUGUGGCUGGGGGUGAAAGGCCAAUCAAACCGGGAGAUAGCUGGUUCUCCCCGAAAGCUAUUUAGGUAGCGCCUCGUGAAUUCAUCUUCGGGGGUAGAGCACUGUUUCGGCUAGGGGGUCAUCCCGACUUACCAACCCGAUGCAAACUACGAAUACCGAAGAAUGUUAUCACGGGAGACACACGGCGGGUGCUAACGUCCGUCGUGAAGAGGGAAACAACCCAGACCGCCAGCUAAGGUCCCAAAGUCAUGGUUAAGUGGGAAACGAUGUGGGAAGGCACAGACAGCCAGGAUGUUGGCUUAGAAGCAGCCAUCAUUUAAAGAAAGCGUAAUAGCUCACUGGUCGAGUCGGCCUGCGCGGAAGAUGUAACGGGGCUAAACCAUGCACCGAAGCUGCGGCAGCGACACUAUGUGUUGUUGGGUAGGGGAGCGUUCUGUAAGCCUGCGAAGGUGACCUGUGAGGGUUGCUGGAGGUAUCAGAAGUGCGAAUGCUGACAUAAGUAACGAUAAAGCGGGUGAAAAGCCCGCUCGCCGGAAGACCAAGGGUUCCUGUCCAACGUUAAUCGGGGCAGGGUGAGUCGACCCCUAAGGCGAGGCCGAAAGGCGUAGUCGAUGGGAAACAGGUUAAUAUUCCUGUACUUGGUGUUACUGCGAAGGGGGGGACGGAGAAGGCUAUGUUAGCCGGGCGACGGUUGUCCCGGUUUAAGCAUGUAGGCUGGUUGUCCAGGCAAAUCCGGAUAAUCAAGGCUGAGGUGUGAUGACGAGGCACUACGGUGCUGAAGUAACAAAUGCCCUGCUUCCAGGAAAAGCCUCUAAGCAUCAGGUAACAUUAAAUCGUACCCCAAACCGACACAGGUGGUCAGGUAGAGAAUACCAAGGCGCUUGAGAGAACUCGGGUGAAGGAACUAGGCAAAAUGGUGCCGUAACUUCGGGAGAAGGCACGCUGGUGUGUAGGUGAAGUCCCUGCGGAUGGAGCUGAGACCAGUCGAAGAUACCAGCUGGCUGCAACUGUUUAUUAAAAACACAGCACUGUGCAAACACGAAAGUGGACGUAUACGGUGUGACGCCUGCCCGGUGCCGGAAGGUUAAUUGAUGGGGUUAUCCGUAAGGAGAAGCUCUUGAUCGAAGCCCCGGUAAACGGCGGCCGUAACUAUAACGGUCCUAAGGUAGCGAAAUUCCUUGUCGGGUAAGUUCCGACCUGCACGAAUGGCGUAAUGAUGGCCAGGCUGUCUCCACCCGAGACUCAGUGAAAUUGAACUCGCUGUGAAGAUGCAGUGUACCCGCGGCAAGACGGAAAGACCCCGUGAACCUUUACUAUAGCUUGACACUGAACAUUGAGCCUUGAUGUGUAGGAUAGGUGGGAGGCUUUGAAGCGUGGACGCCAGUCUGCGUGGAGCCAACCUUGAAAUACCACCCUUUAAUGUUUGAUGUUCUAACGUUGGCCCCUGACCGGGGUUGCGGACAGUGUCUGGUGGGUAGUUUGACUGGGGCGGUCUCCUCCCAAAGCGUAACGGAGGAGCACGAAGGUUAGCUAAUCCUGGUCGGACAUCAGGAGGUUAGUGCAAUGGCAUAAGCUAGCUUGACUGCGAGCGUGACGGCGCGAGCAGGUGCGAAAGCAGGUCAUAGUGAUCCGGUGGUUCUGAAUGGAAGGGCCAUCGCUCAACGGAUAAAAGGUACUCCGGGGAUAACAGGCUGAUACCGCCCAAGAGUUCAUAUCGACGGCGGUGUUUGGCACCUCGAUGUCGGCUCAUCACAUCCUGGGGCUGAAGUAGGUCCCAAGGGUAUGGCUGUUCGCCAUUUAAAGUGGUACGCGAGCUGGGUUUAGAACGUCGUGAGACAGUUCGGUCCCUAUCUGCCGUGGGCGCUGGAGAAUUGAGGGGGGCUGCUCCUAGUACGAGAGGACCGGAGUGGACGCAUCACUGGUGUUCGGGUUGUCAUGCCAAUGGCACUGCCCGGUAGCUAAAUGCGGAAGAGAUAAGUGCUGAAAGCAUCUAAGCACGAAACUUGCCCCGAGAUGAGUUCUCCCUGAGACUUUAAGUCUCCUGAAGGAACGUUGAAGACGACGACGUUGAUAGGCCGGGUGUGUAAGCGCAGCGAUGCGUUGAGCUAACCGGUACUAAUGAACCGUGAGGCUUAACCUU
rnacentral:rRNA from 1 species